UGCAGAGGUGGCAAGCGUUGUUCGGAAUUACUGGGCGUAAAGCGCGUGUAGGCGGCUCUUCAAGUCAGGCGUGAAAGCCCCGGGCUCAACUCGGGAACUGCGCUUGAUACUGUCGAGCUAGAGUGUGGAAGGGGCGAUUGGAAUUCCGUGUGUAGCGGUGAAAUGCGUAGAUAUACGGAGGAACACCAGAGGCGAAGGCGGAUCGCUGGGCCAACACUGACGCUGAGACGCGAAAGCUAGGGUAGCAAACGGG
rnacentral:rRNA from 1 species